rnacentral:rRNA from 1 species
CCUACGGGGGGCAGCAGUGAGGAAUAUUGGUCAAUGGGCGAGAGCCUGAACCAGCCAAGUCGCGUGAGGGAGUACUGCCCUAUGGGUUGUAAACCUCUUUUGUCGGGGAGCAAAAGCCGGACGUGUCCGGCUGUGAGAGUACCCGAAGAAAAAGCAUCGGCUAACUCCGGGCCAGCAGCCGCGGUAAUACGGAGGAUGCGAGCGUUAUCCGGAUUUAUUGGGUUUAAAGGGUGCGCAGGCGGAUUUUUAAGUCAGCGGUAAAAUCGUGGGGCUCAACCCCAUCCAGCCGUUGAAACUGGGGAUCUAGAGUGUGCGAGAGGUAUGCGGAAUGCGUGGUGUAGCGGUGAAAUGCAUAGAUAUCACGCAGAACCCCGAUUGCGAAGGCAGCAUACCGGUGCACAACUGACGCUCAGGCACGAAAGCGUGGGUAUCGAACAGGAUUAGAUACCCUUGUAGUC